UACAGGGGGUGCAAACGUUGCUCGGAAUCAUUGGGCGUAAAGCGCGUGUAGGCGGCUCGAUAAGUCUGCUGUGAAAGUUCAGGGCUCAACCCUGAAAUGCCGGUGGAAACUGUCGAGCUAGAGUCCGGAAGAGGCGAGUGGAAUUCCUGGUGUAGCGGUGAAAUGCGCAGAUAUCAGGAGGAACACCAAUGGCGAAGGCAGCUCGCUGGGACGGUACUGACGCUGAGACGCGAAAGCGUGGGGAGCAAACAGG
rnacentral:rRNA from 1 species